AAUAUUAGUCAAUGCUCGAAAGAGUGAACUAGCUACUGAAUCAAUUAAAAUAAUUGAUAACAUAAGGGAAAAUAAUGAUAUUACCUUAUUAUUAGUGUCGUCCAAAUCUGGUGCCAGAAGACUCGGUAAGGCCAGAGACAUAAACGUUAAUCGUCUUAAUCAGGCGUAAAGGGUUUGUAGGCGGCUUUAAAAUUUACUUAUAAAAAAUAAAAUAAAUAAAUAAUAAGUAAAGAAUAAAAGCUAGAAUCAAAUAGAGGAUAUAUGAAAGAAUGCUUAGAGUAGGUCUGAUAUCCUUAGAUACUAAGUAGAAUAUUAAAGGCGAAAGCUUUUUUCCAUUAAUGAUUGACGCUCAGAAACGAAGGUGAGGAUAGGAAAUAGGAUUAGAUACCCAGAAUACCCCUCUCUGUCAACGAUGAAUGGUAGUUAUUAGUAAAAAUUUAUUAAUGGCAAUGUUAACACGAUAACCAUUCCGCCUUGUGAGUACAACUGCAAAGUUGAAAACAAAAAAAUUAGUCGGUUUCGGAGCAAACGAAGUGAAGCAUGUUAUUUAAUUCGAUAAUCCGCAAAGAUGAAAA
rnacentral:rRNA from 1 species